rnacentral:rRNA from 1 species
UACGAAGGGGGCUAGCGUUGCUCGGAAUUACUGGGCGUAAAGCGCACGUAGGCGGCCAUGAUAGUCAGAUGUGAAAGGCCUGGGCUUAACCCGGGAAUUGCAUUUGAUACUGCAUGGCUAGAGUCCAAGAGAGGGUAGUGGAAUUCCCAGUGUAGAGGUGAAAUUCGUAGAUAUUGGGAAGAACACCAGUGGCGAAGGCGGCUACCUGGCUUGGAACUGACGCUCAGGUGCGAAAGCGUGGGGAGCGAACAGG